UCAGGCCUGUGAUUAGGCUGUGCAACUUCCUCGCUGUGUGGCCUUGGGCAAGUGGCCUACAGCCUUGUGACUCAGUUUCCCCCUUGGGUUGCUUUGAGAACUAAAUGAGUGGCCAGGCACAGUGGCUUACGCCUGUAAUCCCAACACUUUGGGAGGCCAAGGCUGGUCUCCAACUCCUGACCUCAACUGAUCCGCCCUCCUCAGCCUCUCAAAGUGCUGGGAUUACAGGCGUGAACCACCACGCCCAGCCAAAGACGUAAUCUUGAUCAUGCCUUCCCCAGCCCCUCUUAGCUCCAGAGCCUCCUAUGAUAACAGCCCUAGUGGGCAUCUGGCUGGGUGCCAGCCCCAUUCACAGGCUCCCACAGAGGCCUUCUCUCUCAAUUUCCUCCUGUAUCAUUUUUCUUUUAGUCACUUGUCCUUCUCUGAACCCUCCUUUGCUCACUUUUUCUUUAGAGACAGGAUCUCACUUUGUCACCCAGGCUGAAGCAUAGUGACGUGAUCAUAGCUCACCGCAGCCUCGAACUCCUGGGCUCAAGUGCCUCCUCUUGCCUUGCCCUCCCAAGUAGCUGGGACUACAGGCACGUAUCACCACG
rnacentral:sRNA from 1 species